rnacentral:tRNA from 1 species
GGUGGCUCAGUAGUAGAGCUCUUGCCUUGCAUGCAUGAGGCCUUGGGUUCGAUUCCUCAGCACCA